GACGAACGCUGGCGGCGUGCUUAACACAUGCAAGUCGAACGGAAAGGCCCUGCUUUUGUGGGGUGCUCGAGUGGCGAACGGGUAAGUAACACGUGAGUAACCUGCCCUUGACUUUGGGAUAACUUCAGGAAACUUGGGCUAAUACCGGAUAGGAUCUCCUGCUGCAUGGUGGGGGUUGGAAAGUUUCGGCGGUUGGGGAUGGACUCGCGGCUUAUCAGCUUGUUGGUGGGGUAGUGGCUUACCAAGGCUUUGACGGGUAGCCGGCCUGAGAGGGUGACCGGACACAUUGGGACUGAGAUACGGCACAGACUCCUACGGGAGGCAGCAGUGGGGAAUAUUGCACAAUGGGCGGAAGGCUGAUGCAGCAACGCCGCGUGCGGGAUGACGGCCUUCGGGUUGUAAACCGAUUUCGCCUGUGACGAAGCGUGAGUGACGGUAAUGGGUAAAGAAGCACCGGCUAACUACGUG
rnacentral:rRNA from 1 species